CGGGCAAAUCCGGCUGCCGGAUUCGGAUUCGUGCAAUAGGCAGGCCGAGGGGACGCUCCAGUCCCGCCCCCCGCGCCAAGAGGUCCGAAGCAUCCAUCUGUUACUCGGAAUUUCUGCUGGUGCAAGUGGAGAGAGGAGCAAAGAAGCAAAUACAAUUCUCAACACAUCAAGGAUUUAGAAUUACGGCUCCAUGCCCAGGACAGAGCCCAAAACGGCCUGAACCCAUGACUCCAAGA